rnacentral:rRNA from 1 species
CCAGACUCCUACGGGAGGCAGCAGUGGGGAAUGUUGCACAAUGGGGGGAACCCUGAUGCAGCGACGCCGCGUGGGUGAAGGAGUACUUCGGUACGUAAAGCCCUAUCAGCAGGAAAGAAAAUGACGGUACCUGACUAAGAAGCCCCGGCUAACUACGUGCCAGCAGCCGCGGUAAUACGGAGGAUGCGAGCGUUAUCCGGAUUUAUUGGGUUUAAAGGGUGCGCAGGCGGCACGGCAAGCCGGCGGUCAAAUCGCGGGGCUCAACCCCGCCCAGCCGUCGGAACUGCCGGGCUAGAGUGGGCGAGAAGUGCGCGGAAUGCGUGGUGUAGCGGUGAAAUGCAUAGAUAUCACGCAGAACUCCGAUUGCGAAGGCAGCGCACCGGCGCCCUACUGACGCUCAGGCACGAAAGCGUGGGUAUCGAACGGGAUUAGAUACCCCCGUAA